rnacentral:rRNA from 1 species
UACGUAGGGGGCAAGCGUUAUCCGGAUUUACUGGGUGUAAAGGGGGCGCAGACGGCGAUGCAAGCCAGGAGUGAAAGCCCGGGGCCCAACCCCGGGACUGCUCUUGGAACUGCGUGGCUGGAGUGCAGGAGGGGCAGGCGGAAUUCCUGGUGUAGCGGUGAAAUGCGUAGAUAUCAGGAGGAACACCGGUGGCGAAGGCGGCCUGCUGGACUGCAGCUGACGUUGAGGCCCGAAAGCGUGGGGAGCAAACAGG